rnacentral:lncRNA from 1 species
AGUUUUCAAGUGAAUAGCGGUAGGCUUGAAACAAGGAGAGCAAUACUCAUAGACAGGAGUGUUUCACUCGCUACCGCGUCACGCAAAGGCAUCAGCUGCAAUAACAACUAUGAAACUCUUUAUUGGUUUUUCUUAUUGAACACACUUUAGCGUAACGAGCAACUCUGACGCACCACAUUAGGCUCAACUACACUUUUGCUAUUAAUUAGGACUUCGCCCCAACUCUAGUAUUUGAUUUGAAGCGAGGUCUACUUCAGUCUCGUCUUCCAGUCUUGUUCCAGAAGCAGAUGAGGCUGCCAAUAACAUAUGAUUCCCUUAAAGCCAGGGCAGAAGCUAAUUAUUCUUCGUAGGGGUUUACAGACACAGCCGAUUCCCUAAUAGCCUGCCCAUUCUAGUAUCAAUGAGACUCUAUUCUUUAUACGAGAAAACAGGAACUAGAAAUGGAACUGAACCUUGAAACUGUGGAGCUUGACAAAGAGGGCUUUCUAUAGAUUGAUUCAUUCAUAGGUGAGUAAGGCGCUGCUUCUUUGCGCUCCAGGAAAUGAGAUUGAUUCCAAAGGCGAAGAUUUCCAUGAACUAAAGCCCGAGGUAGAGCGUAGGUCGUAAGCCUGCCUUCCUUAUUUGUAGAAAAGUAGGGGCGGAUAGCUUGACACCCAGAGAGAUAGGCGUAGCGCAGGGCAGGAUAGACAAUCUCCGAAGAAAAGAAAGAGUAUAUAUACCUUGUUUGGCUUAGACGAAGGAAGUCCAUAGGGGUAGAGCGCCAUGCCGAGAAAGUCAUGCUGCGGAUAAAAGAGGUUGCCCAUAUCAAAGAAAUGAAUUUGACUCAUUAUAUCAAAUAAUACGUUAUACUUCCUUAUUCUGUCGAGUAAGCUCAAUUACUUCAACCCUCUCCCUUAAGUAUCGGUUACCACUCACUCUGGGUAGUAAACAAACCCUAUUAUUUCUAUACUUACGUUGUGUCGGUUACCACUCAUUCUGGGUAGUAAACAAACCCUCUAAACGGACUAAUGGUACAGGGAAGUGAAUAAGCUAAAUGGUAUAGGGAAGUGAAUAAGCUAAUGGUAUAGGGAAGUGAAUAAGGUGAGUAUGGAUAGGCUCAUGAAUUAUAGUUCCGGGGUAAAUAAUCUCUUAUGUUAUAACAACACCUACAGCAAACACAACGUAGGAAAUAUCAGAACCCCUAAUUAUAAGAAAAGUCUUAGUUCGCUAUUACAGCCGCCGACGAGAAUGUCAUGAUGAUAUUGCUAUGUGCGCCACUCUAGCUUUGAUCAUAUGUUUUUAAUAGUAUUAUGGGAUUUUUCAUAUUCGUCGUAGAUUGAAAAGGGAUAAGUUCUUAACUGACAGAGUCUAAAUAUCACACACACCGGAUAGAUCAUUCAAUGGAAAGCCGAAGGCGAAGAGUUAGGUGAGAGAAAGCGUCCUUUGCUUUGUUGAUACCUAGUGUACACGGCCACCUACUUCAAUGGAUUCAUAAAGCUUGUGCCCUUUCUCUUGCUGGCCUUGCUUCCUUUUGUUCACCGCGAAGAAUUCCAUCUUGAAAGAGAGAAGAAAGAGGCUUUGUUAGGAAUUUCAGAAUCAAAGAAUAGGAUGCUUAACUUGAAUGUCCAGAAUGCGCUCUUCUUGUUACAGAAUAAGCUGCACAUGAACUGGUCGAGUGAAGUGAGUAAGCCCCUGGAGAGAGAGAUAGGAAAAGGGCAUGGCCUAACAGCUUUAUUGAGAGAUUUCGACACCAUUGAGAAUUGGUGAAUGAAUCUGACCCCUAUCUCCGUGGUGGAAGUUCCGGUCGCCAUUGAGAAUGAUUUCAUUAAUUAGCCUCUAUCUCUGUGGGGGAAGUUCCGGUCGUCAUUGCCUAAGUAAGGUCUGGCUCAGAAAGCACCUCCACCCGGGUAGAAGGCUAGGUCAAGUAGCCUUAAUAAUCAAGUAUGAGAAGGCAGCGCAGCAAGCCGAUCCGACAUAGGUUCAAAGGCAUGCACCUUUCCUUAUCUCAAACACACACACACACAUCUUAUUAGAAUAUCAAAAGUAACAAAACCAUACCUUGCUCUAAUGAAAAGAAAAGAAUAUAAGAAACAUCUAAAUAUAGUAACAAAACCACAUCAACACUCUAAUGAAAAUCAUAUAAGUCACACACAUAUUAUAGAAAGAAGUAACAAACCCACAUUUGAAAAGAAUAUCAUAAAGUGUGCACAUAUAUAUCUAAGAGAAGAAUCGGACCCAUGCAUAUACUAUACAAUACUCCCUUCUUCUGAUUUCUGAUAUACUAUACAAUACUCCCUUCUUCUGAUUUCUUGUUGAAGAGAGCUAUCAUCUCUUCAGGGUAGCUGACCACAUGCCCUAACACCAAUUCUCAGUCUCUUAAGCAAAGUGGAGUCUCUUUUGGCCCCCGCUGCUUCUGUUAAAGAGAUAUGCUGCAUUGGAAGAAAACGUAGUUACAGAGCCAUGACAGUUGUUAAAAGGAAUAUGCUUUUGGAGGAACUCUUACAUGAUGGCGGAUGAGAAAUAAGGGGUCAAACUAUUGACUUUCAAAGGAGAGAUUGUAGGUCAAACUAUUGACUUUCAAAGGAGAGAUUGUAUUCCCCAUCCGCUAGAUAGUAUAUUAGUCCCCAUCUAAGGAGUAGCUAUCAUUCCAUGCCUCCACUGCUGCACAUCAUAGCUUGAAGUGCUGGUUGGCUCAACUUGCUCCUUCUUUGGUUGUUGAGGUGGAAACUUCCCUUCCAACUUCCUAUUCUUCAAGACGAGUUCACCCAUCCGUCGAGUGAGAUCAAUCUCCUUGAGCUUCCCACCUCUCCUAAUCCUAACUAAAGGGCUAGGGCCUUCCUCUAUGCAUAGUUAGAAACAUUAGAGCCCACCACUAGAAGGAUUCCCUUGCGUCUGUCACUUAUGCCUCCGCCUUUAUCUAGUAUAUUCUCUCCUCGUUCUAAUUAUACUUAGUUGGUGUUGCUAGUUUCAUAAAACACUUCUUUGUAGAGUAAUCUGCCCUCCUAUCUGCUUCUCUGAUCGAUGCCGUCUUCUUUUGACUACUAAAGCCUUUCGUCGCUCUCAUUGCUUUCCGAUAGCUGCUUUGUUCCGGGCAAGAGGAACUAUUGAGGGCAUCUCUUCCACUUUAUGCGUUUAGUGUCACUACACUACUGAACAACUCUUCCUUAAAGCAAAAGCAUACUUAGAGGCUAAGGGAAAGGAGAAUAAGUUCACAGCUUCACUCCGAUCCGUAUCAAGAUUAUUAUCUGGAUUCUAUUUCUGUGGAAUCGAGCUUUGCCCCUUACCGGAAAAAGUACUAUCGAAAUAGACUUAAUACACUGUUAACUAGUCCUGUUUUUGGCUAACCCAUUGAAUAUCUCUCCUCGCCCCCAAAGGAAUCAUUGAAUUCAAAAGGUGAUCGAGCUCCCGUUAGCGCCCCAGAACCUUUGCUUUGCUUUCCUAAUCUUACACUUGAAACUAAAACGGAUUUCUUGCUUGUGGCUUCUGGAACCCUACUUAUAGAAUCUGGCAACUCAGAAUGAAUUUGAUCCAAAAGAGUGGAGCGGCCCCAAAAGCAUCUAUUGUAAUAACUUGUCAUAUCUAUUACCUUGGCUACCGCACUUAGUCUUGCGCCUAAGCUUGGUCGUUAGUAGUUGCUUGGCUCCUUACGCGCACCUAAACUAUAUUACACAGAUACUGGUUCCCUUUCAAGCUUUGGAGUGAACAAGAUUCUUCUGUUGAGUUGAAGCGGAUUCAGAACUUGUGGAUUCCCUUGCUGGUUCUUUUCGAUUUGAUUUGUAUUCAGAUCCUGCCCCUGCCGAUUAUUCCUCUCUUAGAGACUCUCCUCGCACUGCUGCCACUGCUGAUUCUGUUGCGAGAAUGCAAUGCACUCGGUCAAGCUAAUCACGCAAAGGGAAGGGAUAUAGUUCACAAAGGAAUAGCUGCUCCCCUGGCAGAACCCCUAUGGCAACUGAAAAUAAGGAUGAACUUUCUGAACCGCUACAUAGGUCUCAGUCAAUAAGCCUAGCAACGGGUGGGUCCUCACUUCAACAUAUGGAACUCGUAGACACCUUGCUGAAGAACGAAACUCUUAACUUCCCGCUUACCCACUGCUUUUAACCGCUAAUUCUCUUGUUACUGGUGAUACUCCUGCUUUAUAUAGGUACUCCUAACCAGCUCUAACUGCUUCCUUUCCCUAUUUUGAAUCUACAGAACAAGCAGGAAUUGACCUAGACUUAACUGGCACACUGCUCGCUUCUUCUCCGGAUCAAGCAUCUGAUCUUAUUGCAAUACCAGAUAACGAGUUGUUGGCUUUCACACCAGAUGGGGAGCGCCGAGGAAACUCCAUUCUCAAUUCGAUUCUUUUACACCAAGGUACGUAAUUUAGCGCAUGUGUACUGUAUGGAUGACUUCUUAUCUAUUAGGCAUUGGCAUCAGCUCUUUCAAACGCAAACAAGAAUCUUUCUAGGAAUUGAAGACCGCUGGUGGUUUAUCUGAUUCUUGCACUAUUUGGGUGGUUACUUAUUCUAUUA